UACGGAGGGUGCAAGCGUUAAUCGGAACUACUGGGCGUAAAGCGUGCGCAGGCGGUUUGUUAAGUCUGUUGUGAAAUCCCCGAGCUCAACUUGGGAAUUGCAAUGGAUACUGGCAGACUAGAGUAUGGUAGAGGAAGGUGGAAUUCCCGGUGUAGCAGUGAAAUGCGUAGAGAUCGGGAGGAACACCAGUGGCGAAGGCGGCCUUCUGGACCAAUACUGACGCUCAUGCACGAAAGCGCGGGGAGCAAACAGG
rnacentral:rRNA from 1 species